rnacentral:rRNA from 1 species
UACGUAGGGUGCGAGCGUUAAUCGGAAUUACCGGGCGUAAAGCGUGCGUAGGCGGUUCGUUAAGUUCGUUGUGAAAGCCCCGGGCUCAACCUGGGAAUGGCAAUGGAAACUGGCGGGCUGGAGUAUGGCAGAGGGGGGUGGAAUUCCGCGUGUAGCAGUGAAAUGCGUAGAGAUGCGGAGGAACACCGAUGGCGAAGGCAGCCCCCUGGGCCAAUACUGACGCUCAGGCACGAAAGCGUGGGGAGCAAACAGG